ensembl:lncRNA
UGUAACAGUGUUUAUAUGGUAUUAUUCCACUUGCCACAAAUAUCAGUGCAAUGGGGAAACAGCGCCCCCCCUCUCAGUGUGGCUGGUUAGGUGAGGCUGGCUGCAGUAAUCGCUGCCAGUCUGCCGUAGCCAUACGAGAGUGUGCUGUGCGGAGUGGUGUGUGGCGAGCCAUUUGCACUGAUACAACACCGUUGUUUCCAUUCAGGAAAUAAAGUGGCAACGAUCGAUCAGAGACUCCUUGUCUUUUUAAAAACACAACACAACGCAGAGUCGAGGAGUCUGUUUGGGCCGAACUGUUGCAGCGGGAUGAAGCAGAAACCGGUUACAACUGCGUGGGAAGAAAACUUCUUUUUACCGUGAAAAAAACCCCCUAAACUUCCAAGCAAGCACCG